GGGCAGUAUGGGCGAUGGAAGCCGCUCGGCCUAGCAAGACGAGAGAUGCGGUUCGACUCCGCUACUGCCCU
rnacentral:tRNA from 2 species